UCGACUCAUUAGAUUAUGAUAACCAUCAUAAUUACCAA
rnacentral:tRNA from 1 species